rnacentral:sRNA from 1 species
CCCUAGCCCCGAUAGAAAUGGAAAUCCUUUUGCUUUUUUCUUUAUAAAGCAAAAGAUUGAAACAUCCCGAGGCUUCGG